AUUGAACGCUGGCGGCAUGCUUUACACAUGCAAGUCGAACGGCAGCACGGGCUUCGGCCUGGUGGCGAGUGGCGAACGGGUGAGUAAUAUAUCGGAACGUACCCAAGAGUGGGGGAUAACGUAGCGAAAGUUACGCUAAUACCGCAUACGAUCCAAGGAUGAAAGUGGGGGACCGCAAGGCCUCACGCUCCUGGAGCGGCCGAUAUCUGAUUAGCUAGUUGGUAGGGUAAAGGCCUACCAAGGCAUCGAUCAGUAGCUGGUCUGAGAGGACGACCAGCCACACUGGAACUGAGACACGGUCCAGACUCCUACGGGAGGCAGCAGUGGGGAAUUUUGGACAAUGGGGGCAACCCUGAUCCAGCAAUGCCGCGUGAGUGAAGAAGGCCUUCGGGUUGUAAAGCUCUUUUGUCAGGGAAGAAACGGUUGUGGCUAAUAUCCAUGACUAAUGACGGUACCUGAAGAAUAAGCACCGGCUAACUACGUGCCAGCAGCCGCCGUAAGAC
rnacentral:rRNA from 1 species